AAAAAUAAGAAGGAAAAACAACAAACUAAAAAUCUAACCAUCAAGCCAUAACAAGAAAUAGAAGCCAAUCAGCCAUAUUCACCAGCCACAAGCUUAUAGACCUCUAGAGAUAGCAAACUAGAAGAAGAAGAACUCGAACACCUGUCAAAUAAAGUGGAAAAGGAGGACAUCAAACAACCUAACACACCCUUAAAUAUUAGCCACUUGAGUGAACC
rnacentral:lncRNA from 1 species